rfam:Felis catus isolate Cinnamon breed Abyssinian chromosome X, whole genome shotgun sequence.
UUCUGUGGUACCCUACUCCAGAGGUUGGCAAUCACAGGUACUUAAAUGUGAUUGACACCUCUGUGAGUGGAGUAACACUUGA